UACGUAGGGUGCGAGCGUUGUCCGGAAUUAUUGGGCGUAAAGAGCUUGUAGGCGGUCUGUCGCGUCUGCUGUGAAAAUCCGGGGCUCAACCCCGGACUUGCAGUGGGUACGGGCAGACUAGAGUGUGGUAGGGGAGACUGGAAUUCCUGGUGUAGCGGUGGAAUGCGCAGAUAUCAAGGGAGGGAACACCCGGUGGGCGAAGGCGGGUC
rnacentral:rRNA from 1 species